CCUACGGGUGGCUGCAGUGGGGAAUAUUGGGCAAUGGAGGAAACUCUGACCCAGCAACGCCGCGUGAAUGAUGAAGGUCUUCGGAUUGUAAAGUUCUUUUCUAAGGGAAGAAGAAAGUGACGGUACCGUAGGAAUAAGCCUCGGCUAACUACGUGACAGCAGCCGCGGUAAUACGGAGGAGGCAAGGGUUAGCCGGAAUGACUGGGCGUAAAGGGUGCGGAGGUGGGGUGCCAAGUUGGUAGCGUAACUCCGGGGCUCAUCCUCGGCACUGCUACCCAAACUGUCGGACUUGAGUGCAGGGGUGGCAAGUGGCAUUCCUCGUGUAGCGGUGUAAUGCGUAGAUCUUAG
rnacentral:rRNA from 1 species